UCUAAGAAUCUUGACCUCUGAUUAGAC
rnacentral:piRNA from 1 species